rnacentral:lncRNA from 1 species
UUACGGUAAGAACUUCAAUCAACCUUUCAUUCUAUUGCUUUUAGAAAUUGUGAAAGAAUUUCAAGUCAUGGCUAAAGGAAUUUCAAGUUAUGGCUAAAGGAAUUUCAAAAUCAAGAUAUUCAUUCACUGUUUGACAUAUUUAUUGUCAUUGUCUUUUCCUAUUGAUUCUACUGAUUUUAUUGUCCAAAAACUAUAACAAUUAUAUACAUAUUUUCACAAAGCUAUCACUUAAACAAAAACUAUAACAAUGCCAUACUAUAAUUCUAAUAGCAGUAACUACCUAAGAUAUGUGUGCUAGGUAGUUCCGGAUAUCGGUGUUUAAAUCGACAAAUUUAAUGUUGUUGAAUGGAUUUGGAUCGUGAAACGGUAGUCUGAAGAAAUCGAUGCCCGUACUUGCAAUCUGG